rnacentral:rRNA from 1 species
UGUGAAGGAGGGUGGGUGGCGGCUGGAGCGAAAGGAGGAGUGGGUGGCGGGUGGAGCAGGGAGAGGAGUGGUAGAGAGGGAUGGGAGGCGGGAGACGGAGGACGGAGCUUGGGGGUCUAGGUUAGGUGUGUUGUGGCGGCGGGGGCGUGGGGCAUGACAGGUGGUACCGGCGGAGGAGGAGGAGGAGCGAGGCCUAGGGGUGUGGUUGGGUGGUGGAGCGGCACCCCCGCACAGGCGCCGCCGACGGGAAGGUGCAGCAGAGGGGUGUCGUCCGCGGCCGUGGCCCGCUGCCGCUGCUGCGGUUGCCCGGGUGGCCGCACGGGCACGGGAAGAUGGCACGCCCGUCGACAAGGCCGCCCCCAGCUGCGGCGUCCACCACGCGCUCCUCCACCUGCUGAAGGACACGAGGCUCUCCCCGACGGCGGCAGCGCACGACGGCCUUGUUCGUCGUCCCCUCGAAGACGAACCGCGUACGCAGAGGAAGGAAGCCGUCUUCAUCGUCCACUCCUUCUUGGUCGACGGCUGCCCGCUCCCGUACCCCAUGGACCUCCGGUUCGUGGUGGACGACGAGAACAGAGUGGGUAUUGAACCAAAUAUACGUACCAAAGUUCACUUGAAUAGUAUCGAAUACAACAACGAAAACACCUAUGACGAUGGGCAACGAAUUUACGACGGAAUUGAACAAUCGUACAAGUACACUUAACCGAUUGAUGACGGACAAUUAAUGCUGAUGAGUGACGACGAUAUAAGAUAAUCGUGGUUGAGACGACGGGCACAUAAUAUAUAUAUAAGAAGAACGAGUUCGUGUUCUCGUGAUCACGAUACAACGACGGACACUGUCAGGUACCUGUUUGAGACAAUUAAAUAAGGCUCACGGGUAUUAAGGGAGAGAUCGUCGUGGUGGACACGAGAACACAGUGGGUAUUGUUGUUAAAUGAACUUCACGAGUACAUCCAAUUAAUAAUUCGUAUGGACAUAAGAGUCAUGGUACGAUGAAUAAAACGGAGGACUCCAAAGAUCAGACGAUAAAGAACGAAAGGAAAUAGAAGUAUGAAUAAUACUACCGUUAAACUGAACUUCACGAGUACAUCCAAUUAAUAAUUCGUAUGGACUUGUAUAACCCGACAUGAGCACAUCAUCCUAUGCUCCGAGAUCAAAUCAAAAGACAUCUUAUACAUUAUAACUUCAUAGGAAACAACACGCUUAAGUAUCUCGGAUUAUAAAUGAGUAGGGCUCAGAGUCUAGUAUAAUGUCGAUAGAAAAGUAACGUAACACGUUCAGUGACUAUCCUCACUCUAACUUCAAUAGAAAACAGUUGGUACAAUGCUAGAAAGUCGUACGUACUACACGAAGUUACCAAAGAUAUAUGACUGUACCAUACUAGUAAACUGGUGGGACAGAGAUACACACACAUCUAUUACAGCUCUCGGCUACUGCUGUGCCACUACCUCCGCCACCUGAGCCUCCACAGCCACUGCACGUGCCUGUACCCCGACCAGGUCUUUCGCAAGGUCCGGGACGACACGUGGUUCGCCGUGGGGUAACUGGUCGGCUACUACGUGCUCCACCGGGCCCACGACGAGAGCGAGUACGUCGAGGACGGGAGGUCUAGGAUCGGAAGGAAACACAAAACAGCACUCCAGAUCCUACUUGUUCAGCCCGAGUAACCUCUAUCAAUAUGAUACUAUCGAUCAAUAAAAAAAACAUCAACACAAUGGACUACACUUGAAAAAUAAUAACAUUUGGACUACAAUUGGUACCAAGUAACAUUAUUACACGGUUCAAACCGAGACAAACUAACAUAAGUACUACACUUGGUACAAAAAGGCCUAAUCUAUACGAAACUUCGUAAAAUAAAAGAC